GAUGAAGAACGUAUCUAAAUGCGAUAAGUAGUGUGAAUUGCAGAAUUCAGUGAAUCAUCGAAUCUUUGAACGCACAUUGCGCCCCUUGGUAUUCCGAGGGGCAUGCCUGUUCGAGCGUCAUUAUAACCCCUCAAGCUCAGCUUGGUGUUGGGGCCUGCCGCACGGGCAGCCCUUAAAAUCAGUGGCGGUGCCAUCUGGCUCUAAGCGUAGUAAUUCUUCUCGCUAUAGAGUCCCGGUGGAUGCUUGCCAUUAACCCCCAAUUUUCUAUGGUUGACCUCGGAUCAGGUAGGGAUACCCGCUGAACUUAAGCAUAUCAAUAAGCGGAGGA
rnacentral:misc_RNA from 1 species